rnacentral:rRNA from 1 species
UACGUAGGGUGCAAGCGUUGUCCGGAAUUAUUGGGCGUAAAGAGCUCGUAGGUGGUUUGUCGCGUCGGGAGUGAAAACACCGGGCUUAACUCGGUGCUUGCUUUCGAUACGGGCAGACUGGAGGUAUGCAGGGGAGAACGGAAUUCCUGGUGUAGCGGUGAAAUGCGCAGAUAUCAGGAGGAACACCGGUGGCGAAGGCGGUUCUCUGGGCAUUACCUGACGCUGAGGAGCGAAAGUGUGGGGAGCGAACAGG